CCGUAGCCUGGAAAGCCCGAGAUGAUGCUGAGUUUGUGCUUAUUAAUCAAGAUUAAGCAUAGCUGCUGAUUUGCAAAAUGCGUAAAUACUGGAAGCUUCUCUUAGUUUCUACAGCUGUCAUCAGUGCAGCAUUCUUCCUCUUCUACAAACACCAGUAUGAUCGCCUCAGAGGUGUUCUGCAGGUGCUGGACACAUUUGGCAGUCCAAACAUGGCGACAGUAGCGCCUUCCAAUGGUGUGCUGAGCUGGGAUGGCGACGGCUGGCAGGCCGUCUCUGCCGACCUCUUCAUCUUCUCCUCGUAUGUGGCGCACGGCGUCGGCGUGGCCACGCUGGCCGUAGCCGCUGGCGAGCCGCGCCCCGACCAGCUGGCGUGCUGGG